AACGAACGCUGGCGGCAUGCCUAACACAUGCAAGUCGAACGAGACCUUCGGGUCUAGUGGCGCACGGGUGCGUAACGCGUGGGAACCUGCCCUUAGGUUCGGAAUAACUCCCCGAAAGGGGUGCUAAUACCGGUUAAUGUCUUCGGACCAAAGAUUUAUCGCCUUUGGAUGGGCCCGCGUUGGAUUAGCUAGUUGGUAGGGUAAAAGCCUACCAAGGCGACGAUCCAUAGCUGGUCUGAUAGGAUGAUCAGCCACACUGGGACUGAGACACGGCCCAGACUCCUACGGGAGGCAGCAGUGGGGAAUAUUGGACGAGGGGCGAAAGCCUGAUCCAGCAAUGCCGCGUGAGUGAUGAAGGCCUUAGGAUUGUAAAGCUCUUUUACCCGGGAUGAUAAUGACAGUACCGGGAGAAUAAGCUCCGGCUAACUCCGUG
rnacentral:rRNA from 1 species